GAGGGUAGAGUUCAGUGGUAGAGUGUGUGCCUAGCAUGCACGAGGUCCCAGGUUCAAUCCCCAGUACCUCCA
rnacentral:tRNA from 1 species